CCGAUGGCGACCGGCGCACGGGUGAGUAACACGUAUCCAACCUGCCGAUAACUCGGGGAUAGCCUUUCGAAAGAAAGAUUAAUAUCCGAUAGGAUAUCAAGGUCACAUGAUCUUGAUAUUAAAGAAUUUCGGUUAUCGAUGGGGAUGCGUUCCAUUAGUUAGUUGGCGGGGUAACGGCCCACCAAGACGACGAUGGAUAGGGGUUCUGAGAGGAAGGUCCCCCACAUUGGAACUGAGACACGGUCCAAACUCCUACGGAAGGCAGCAG
rnacentral:rRNA from 1 species